rnacentral:rRNA from 1 species
GACGAACGCUGGCGGCGUGCCUAACACAUGCAAGUCGAACGAAGCUUGACGAAUGAUUUCUUCGGAAUGAAAUCUGAUAUGACUGAGUGGCGGACGGGUGAGUAACGCGUGAGCAACCUGCCCUUCGGAACGGGAUAGUGUCUGGAAACGGACAGUAAUACCGUAUAACGUAUUUUUACCGCAUGAUAGAAAUACCAAAACUGAGGUGCCGAAGGAUGGGCUCGCGUCUGAUUAGAUAGUUGGUGGGGUAACGGCCUACCAAGUCGACGAUCAGUAGCCGGACUGAGAGGUUGAACGGCCACAUUGGGACUGAGACACGGCCCAGACUCCUACGGGAGGCAGCAGUGGGGAAUAUUGCACAAUGGGGGAAACCCUGAUGCAGCAACGCCGCGUGAAGGAAGACGGUUUUCGGAUUGUAAACUUCUGUUCUUAGUGAAGAAUAAUGACGGUAGCUAAGGAGCAAGCCACGGCUAACUACGUGCCAGCAGCCGCGGUAAUACGUAGGUGGCAAGCGUUGUCCGGAAUUACUGGGUGUAAAGGGAGCGUA